UGGGGAAUUUUCCGCAAUGGGCGCAAGCCUGACGGAGCAAUACCGCGUGCGGGAGGACGCCUUUUGGGGUGUAAACCGCUUUUAUCAGGGAAGAAUCGAUGACGGUACCUGAUGAAUCAGCAUCGGCUAACUCCGUGCCAGCAGCCGCGGUAAUACGGAGGAUGCAAGCGUUAUCCGGAAUUAUUGGGCGUAAAGCGUCGUAGGUGGCUUCGUAAGUCUUUUGCCAAAUCGUGCAGCUUAACUGCAUACGGGCGGAGGAAACUACGAAGCUAGAGUGCGAUAGGGGUCACAGGAAUUCCCAGUGUAGCGGUGAAAUGCGUAGAUAUUGGNAAGAACACCAGCGGCGAAAGCGUGUGAACUGGGUCUGCACUGACACUGAGGGGACGAAAAGCUAGGGGGAGCGAAAAGGGAUUAGAUACCCCCUGUAGUCCUAGCCGUAAACGAUGACAACUAGGUGUGGUUCGUAUCGACCCGAGCCGUGCCGUAGCCAACGCGUUAAGUUGUCCGCCUGGGGAGUACGCACGCAAGUGUGAAACUCAAAUGAAUUGACGGGGGUCAUAGCUG
rnacentral:rRNA from 1 species